CCUACGGGUGGCAGCAGUGAGGAAUAUUGGUCAAUGGACGCAAGUCUGAACCAGCAUGCCGCGUGCAGGAAGACGGCUCUAUGAGUUGUAAACUGCCUUUGUACGAGGGUAAACGCAGAUAAGGGUAUCUGUCUGACAGUAUCGUACGAAAAAGGAUCGGCUAACUCCGUGCCAGCAGCCGCGGUAAUACGGAGGAAUCAAGCGUUAUCCGGAUUUAUUGGGUUUAAAGGGUGCGUAGGCGGGCGGAUAAGUUAGAGGUGAAAACCCGAGGCUCAACUUCGGAAUUGCCUCUGAUACUGUUAAGCUAGAGAGUAGUUGCGGUAGGCGGAAUGUAUGGUGUAGCGGUGAAAUGCUUAGAGAUCAUACAGAACACCGAUUGCGAAGGCAGCUUACCAAGCUACUUCUGACGUUGAGGCACGAAAGCGUGGGGAGCAAACAGGAUUAGAUACCCCUGUAGUC
rnacentral:rRNA from 1 species